AUUGAACGCUGGCGGCAGGCUUAACACAUGCAAGUCGAGCGGAGAUGAGGUGCUUGCACCUUAUCUUAGCGGCGGACGGGUGAGUAAUGCUUAGGAAUCUGCCUAUUAGUGGGGGACAACAUUCCGAAAGGAAUGCUAAUACCGCAUACGCCCUACGGGGGAAAGCAGGGGAUCUUCGGACCUUGCGCUAAUAGAUGAGCCUAAGUCGGAUUAGCUAGUUGGUGGGGUAAAGGCCUACCAAGGCGACGAUCUGUAGCGGGUCUGAGAGGAUGAUCCGCCACACUGGGACUGAGACACGGCCCAGACUCCUACGGGAGGCAGCAGUGGGGAAUAUUGGACAAUGGGCGGAAGCCUGAUCCAGCCAUGCCGCGUGUGUGAAGAAGGCCUUUUGGUUGUAAAGCACUUUAAGCGAGGAGGAGGCUACCUGGGUUUAUACUCUAGGAUAGUGGACGUUACUCGCAGAAUAAGCACCGGCUAACUCUGUGCCAGCCGCCGCAGUAAGAC
rnacentral:rRNA from 1 species